rnacentral:rRNA from 1 species
UACGGAGGGUGCAAGCGUUAUCCGGAUUCACUGGGUUUAAAGGGUGCGUAGGUGGGCAGGUAAGUCCGUGGUGAAAUCUCCAAGCUUAACUUGGAAACUGCCGUGGAUACUAUCUGUCUUGAAUACCGUGGAGGUGAGCGGAAUAUGUCAUGUAGCGGUGAAAUGCUUAGAUAUGACAUAGAACACCAAUUGCGAAGGCAGCUGGCUACACGAAUAUUGACACUGAUGCACGAAAGCGUGGGGAUCAAACAGG